UUGUGUAGUCAAGGAGAAAUUUGGUAUAUCUCCAGAUCAUACCAUUUAUUUGGCAGACGAGACCGGAACUGAAGUGGAUGAAGAUGUUUUUGCUGAUAUUAUGGAACAAAAGCCUGACACACUUUGGACAAUUGUUGAUUCUAUGGCUACAGAAGAUUCUACUGCCCCACCAACCUCUCAAUUUUCAAGUGAAAUGAAAACGGUGUCACCAACAGACAGCUGUGUUUCUGUUCUCUCAACAAAAAGACCUCGAACUGACGACCAAUUUACUGAGGCCAAGGAGCUUGUAAAAGAUGUAUUGGGGAAAAAAAGUGCAGGGGAGAAGAUUUUUCAGGAGUACAGAGCAACUGGGAAAAUCACAGAUUCUACAAGGCGAAUUCUUGUGAAUGCUGUAGUUGGAGACAUGAUUGAAAAA